UUUGUGACUAUUUCAUUAUUGUGAUCUUUAGAAGCUUGCCAGCACGAUCACUGAGUAAGAUUUCACUCAUCAUAUUGUAUAUUUGGAGAAUGGCUUUAUAUCACAUAUAGAGCUGUGAUAAUACUCAUUGAAUAUACACUUAUCCAUAUCUACAA